rnacentral:rRNA from 1 species
GACAGAGGGUGCAAACGUUGUUCGGAAUCACUGGGCGUAAAGCGCGUGUAGGCGGCUAUGUAAGUCGGACGUGAAAUCCCACGGCUCAACCGUGGAAGUGCGCUCGAAACUGUGUAGCUUGAGUCCUGGAGAGGAAGACGGAAUACUUGGUGUAGAGGUGAAAUUCGUAGAUAUCAGGUAGAACACCAGUGGCGAAGGCGGUCUUCUGGACAGUGACUGACGCUGAGACGCGAAAGCGUGGGGAG